rnacentral:rRNA from 1 species
ACGGAGGGUGCAAGCGUUGUUCGGAAUUAUUGGGCGUAAAGGGCGCGUAGGCGGUAAUGCAAGUCAGAUGUGAAAGACUUGGGCUCAACCCAAGAACUGCAUCUGAAACUGCAUAACUAGAGUACAGAAGAGGGAAGCGGAAUUCCCGGUGUAGAGGUGAAAUUCGUAGAGAUCGGGAGGAACACCAGUGGCGAAGGCGGUUUCCUGGUCUGUUACUGACGCUGAGGCGCGAAAGUGUGGGGAGCAAACAG